rnacentral:siRNA from 1 species
AUAUACGGUUAGAACGGUUACGGU